rnacentral:rRNA from 1 species
GGUUAAGCGACUAAGCGUACACGGUGGAUGCCCUGGCAGUCAGAGGCGAUGAAGGACGUGCUAAUCUGCGAUAAGCGUCGGUAAGGUGAUAUGAACCGUUAUAACCGGCGAUUUCCGAAUGGGGAAACCCAGUGUGAUUCGUCACACUAUCAUUAACUGAAUCCAUAGGUUAAUGAGGCGAACCGGGGGAACUGAAACAUCUAAGUACCCCGAGGAAAAGAAAUCAACCGAGAUUCCCCCAGUAGCGGCGAGCGAACGGGGAGCAGCCCAGAGCCUGAAUCAGUGUGUGUGUUAGUGGAAGCGUCUGGAAAGGCGCGCGAUACAGGGUGACAGCCCCGUACACAAAAAUGCACAUGCUGUGAGCUCGAUGAGUAGGGCGGGACACGUGGUAUCCUGUCUGAAUAUGGGGGGACCAUCCUCCAAGGCUAAAUACUCCUGACUGACCGAUAGUGAACCAGUACCGUGAGGGAAAGGCGAAAAGAACCCCGGCGAGGGGAGUGAAAAAGAACCUGAAACCGUGUACGUACAAGCAGUGGGAGCACGCUUAGGCGUGUGACUGCGUACCUUUUGUAUAAUGGGUCAGCGACUUAUAUUCUGUAGCAAGGUUAACCGAAUAGGGGAGCCGAAGGGAAACCGAGUCUUAACUGGGCGUUAAGUUGCAGGGUAUAGACCCGAAACCCGGUGAUCUAGCCAUGGGCAGGUUGAAGGUUGGGUAACACUAACUGGAGGACCGAACCGACUAAUGUUGAAAAAUUAGCGGAUGACUUGUGGCUGGGGGUGAAAGGCCAAUCAAACCGGGAGAUAGCUGGUUCUCCCCGAAAGCUAUUUAGGUAGCGCCUCGUGAAUUCAUCUCCGGGGGUAGAGCACUGUUUCGGCAAGGGGGUCAUCCCGACUUACCAACCCGAUGCAAACUGCGAAUACCGGAGAAUGUUAUCACGGGAGACACACGGCGGGUGCUAACGUCCGUCGUGAAGAGGGAAACAACCCAGACCGCCAGCUAAGGUCCCAAAGUCAUGGUUAAGUGGGAAACGAUGUGGGAAGGCCCAGACAGCCAGGAUGUUGGCUUAGAAGCAGCCAUCAUUUAAAGAAAGCGUAAUAGCUCACUGGUCGAGUCGGCCUGCGCGGAAGAUGUAACGGGGCUAAACCAUGCACCGAAGCUGCGGCAGCGACGCUGAUGCGUUGUUGGGUAGGGGAGCGUUCUGUAAGCCUGCGAAGGUGUGCUGUGAGGCAUGCUGGAGGUAUCAGAAGUGCGAAUGCUGACAUAAGUAACGAUAAAGCGGGUGAAAAGCCCGCUCGCCGGAAGACCAAGGGUUCCUGUCCAACGUUAAUCGGGGCAGGGUGAGUCGACCCCUAAGGCGAGGCCGAAAGGCGUAGUCGAUGGGAAACAGGUUAAUAUUCCUGUACUUGGUGUUACUGCGAAGGGGGGACGGAGAAGGCUAUGUUGGCCGGGCGACGGUUGUCCCGGUUUAAGCGUGUAGGCUGGUUUUCCAGGCAAAUCCGGAAAAUCAAGGCUGAGGCGUGAUGACGAGGCACUACGGUGCUGAAGCAACAAAUGCCCUGCUUCCAGGAAAAGCCUCUAAGCAUCAGGUAACAUCAAAUCGUACCCCAAACCGACACAGGUGGUCAGGUAGAGAAUACCAAGGCGCUUGAGAGAACUCGGGUGAAGGAACUAGGCAAAAUGGUGCCGUAACUUCGGGAGAAGGCACGCUGAUAUGUAGGUGAAGUCCCUCGCGGAUGGAGCUGAAAUCAGUCGAAGAUACCAGCUGGCUGCAACUGUUUAUUAAAAACACAGCACUGUGCAAACACGAAAGUGGACGUAUACGGUGUGACGCCUGCCCGGUGCCGGAAGGUUAAUUGAUGGGGUUAGCGCAAGCGAAGCUCCUGAUCGAAGCCCCGGUAAACGGCGGCCGUAACUAUAACGGUCCUAAGGUAGCGAAAUUCCUUGUCGGGUAAGUUCCGACCUGCACGAAUGGCGUAAUGAUGGCCAGGCUGUCUCCACCCGAGACUCAGUGAAAUUGAACUCGCUGUGAAGAUGCAGUGUACCCGCGGCAAGACGGAAAGACCCCGUGAACCUUUACUAUAGCUUGACACUGAACAUUGAGCCUUGAUGUGUAGGAUAGGUGGGAGGCUUUGAAGUGUGGACGCCAGUCUGCAUGGAGCCGACCUUGAAAUACCACCCUUUAAUGUUUGAUGUUCUAACGUUGACCCGUAAUCCGGGUUGCGGACAGUGUCUGGUGGGUAGUUUGACUGGGGCGGUCUCCUCCUAAAGAGUAACGGAGGAGCACGAAGGUUGGCUAAUCCUGGUCGGACAUCAGGAGGUUAGUGCAAUGGCAUAAGCCAGCUUGACUGCGAGCGUGACGGCGCGAGCAGGUGCGAAAGCAGGUCAUAGUGAUCCGGUGGUUCUGAAUGGAAGGGCCAUCGCUCAACGGAUAAAAGGUACUCCGGGGAUAACAGGCUGAUACCGCCCAAGAGUUCAUAUCGACGGCGGUGUUUGGCACCUCGAUGUCGGCUCAUCACAUCCUGGGGCUGAAGUAGGUCCCAAGGGUAUGGCUGUUCGCCAUUUAAAGUGGUACGCGAGCUGGGUUUAGAACGUCGUGAGACAGUUCGGUCCCUAUCUGCCGUGGGCGCUGGAGAACUGAGGGGGGCUGCUCCUAGUACGAGAGGACCGGAGUGGACGCAUCACUGGUGUUCGGGUUGUCAUGCCAAUGGCACUGCCCGGUAGCUAAAUGCGGAAGAGAUAAGUGCUGAAAGCAUCUAAGCACGAAACUUGCCCCGAGAUGAGUUCUCCCUGACUCCUUGAGAGUCCUGAAGGAACGUUGAAGACGACGACGUUGAUAGGCCGGGUGUGUAAGCGCAGCGAUGCGUUGAGCUAACCGGUACUAAUGAACCGUGAGGCUUAACCUU